rnacentral:rRNA from 1 species
UACAGAGGGCUCAAGCGUUGUUCGGAUUCAUUGGGCGUAAAGGGUGCGUAGGCGGCUCGGUAAGUCGGGUGUGAAAUCUCGGGGCUUAACUCCGAAACUGCAUUCGAUACUACCGUGCUUGAGGACUGGAGAGGAGACUGGAAUUUACGGUGUAGCGGUGAAAUGCGUAGAUAUCGGAAGGAAGACCAGUGGCGAAGGCGGGUCUCUGGACAGUUCCUGACGCUGAGGCACGAAGGCCAGGGGAGCAAACGGG